rnacentral:ncRNA from 3 species
ACUCAACGCUAAUAAAUUAAAAAGAGUGAGUCUAGAUCCUAGAGCGUGCCUUUUUUUAAGGAUUAUCGAAUAUUUAGUUAGCUCUAAACUUGUAUAAAUGGAGUUU